CCUGGCUCAGGAUGAACGCUAGCGGCAGGCUUAACACAUGCAAGUCGAGGGGUAUAUGUCUUCGGAUAUAGAGACCGGCGCACGGGUGCGUAACGCGUAUGCAAUCUACCUUUUACAGAGGGAUAGCCCAGAGAAAUUUGGAUUAAUACCUCAUAGUAUAGUGACUCGGCAUCGAGAUACUAUUAAAGUCACAACGGUAAAAGAUGAGCAUGCGUCCCAUUAGCUAGUUGGUAAGGUAACGGCUUACCAAGGCUACGAUGGGUAGGGGUCCUGAGAGGGAGAUCCCCCACACUGGUACUGAGACACGGACCAGACUCCUACGGGAGGCAGCAGUGAGGAAUAUUGGACAAUGGGCGCAAGCCUGAUCCAGCCAUGCCGCGUGCAGGAUGAAGGUCCUAUGGAUUGUAAACUGCUUUUGUACGAGAAGAAACACUCCNACGUGUNGGAGCUUGACGGUAUCGUAAGAAUAAGGAUCGGCUAACUCCGUGCCAGCAGCCGCGGUAAUACGGAGGAUCCAAGCGUUAUCCGGAAUCAUUGGGUUUAAAGGGUCCGUAGGCGGUUUAGUAAGUCAGUGGUGAAAGCCCAUCGCUCAACGGUGGAACGGCCAUUGAUACUGCUAAACUUGAAUUAUUAGGAAGUAACUAGAAUAUGUAGUGUAGCGGUGAAAUGCUUAGAGAUUACAUGGAAUACCAAUUGCGAAGGCAGGUUACUACUAAUGGAUUGACGCUGAUGGACGAAAGCGUGGGUAGCGAACAGGAUUAGAUACCCUGGUAGUCCACGCCGUAAACGAUGGAUACUAGCUGUUGGGAGCAAUCUCAGUGGCUAAGCGAAAGUGAUA
rnacentral:rRNA from 1 species